CGGACGGGUGAGUAACGCGUGGAUAACCCUGCCCCAUACCGGGGGAUAACAGCCGGAAACGGCUGCUAAUACCGCAUAAGCGCACAGGAAUGCAUAUUCCAGUGUGAAAAACUCCGGUGGUAUGGGAUGGAUCCGCGUCUGAUUAGCUAGUUGGCGGGAUAGAGGCCCACCAAGGCGACGAUCAGUAGCCGACCUGAGAGGGUGGCCGGCCACAUUGGGACUGAGACACGGCCCAGACUCCUACGGAAGGCAGCAG
rnacentral:rRNA from 1 species